UACGUAGGGUGCAAGCGUUGUCCGGAAUUAUUGGGCGUAAAGCGCUCGUAGGCGGCCUGUCACGUCUGCUGUGAAAUCCCGGGGCUUAACCCCGGGCGUGCAGUGGAUACGGGCUGGCUGGAGGCAGGCAGGGGAGAAUGGAAUUCCCGGUGUAGCGGUGAAAUGCGCAGAUAUCGGGAGGAACACCGGUGGCGAAGGCGGUUCUCUGGGCCUGUUCUGACGCUGAGGAGCGAAAGCGUGGGGAGCGAACAGG
rnacentral:rRNA from 1 species